CCUGGUUGAUCCUGCCAGUAGUCAUAUGCUUGUCUCAAAGAUUAAGCCAUGCAUGUGUAAGUAUAAGCAACUAUACUGCGAAACUGCGAAUGGCUCAUUAAAUCAGUUAUCGUUCAUUUGAUAGUACCUUACUACAUGGAUACCUGUAGUAAUUCCAGAGCUAACACACGCACAAAAACCCCGACUUCUGGAAGGGGUGCAUUUGUUAGAUCCAAAACCAAUACCUUCGGGUCUUGUGAUGAUUCAUAACAACUUUGCGAAUCGCAGAGGCCUUGAGCCGGCGAUAAAUCAUUCAAGUUUCUGCCCUAUCAACUUUCGAUGGUACGAUAGAGGCGUACCAUUGUUUUGACGGGUAACGGAGAAUUAGGGUUCGAUUCCGGAGAGGGAGCCUGAGAGACGGCUACCACAUCCAAGGACGGCAGCAGGCGCGCAAAUUACCCAAUCCCGAUACGGGGAGGUAGUGACAAUAAAUAACAAUACCGGGCCUUCAAGGUCUGGUAAUUGGAAUGAGUACAAUCCAAAACCCUUAACGAGGAACAAUUGGAGGGCAAGUCUGGUGCCAGCAGCCGCGGUAAUUCCAGCUCCAAUAGCGUAUAUUAAAGUUGCUGCAGUUAAAAAGCUCGUAGUCGGAUUUCAGGGUCCUCUGGCCGGUCUGUCGAAAGGCAUGCACUGGUCGGUGGACCCUUCCUUCUGAAGACUGCGUCUGUUCUUAAUUGAAUGGGCGUAGGAUUCGGAUCGUUUACUUUGAAAAAAUUAGAGUGUUUAAAGCAGGCCACUGCCGUGAAUACUUCAGCAUGGAAUAAUAGAAUAGGACUUUGGUUUUAUUUUGUUGGUUUCUAGGACCAAAGUAAUGAUUAAUAGGGACAGUUGGGGGCAUCAGUAUUUAAUUGCUAGAGGUGAAAUUCUCAGAUUUAUGAAAGACUAACUUCUGCGAAAGCAUUUGCCAAGGAUGUUUUCAUUGAUCAAGAACGAAAGUUAGGGGAUCGAAGACGAUCAGAUACCGUCGUAGUCUUAACCAUAAACUAUGCCGACUAGGACUAAGUGGAUGUUAUUUACGACUCCAUUUGUGCCUUAUGAGAAAUCAAAGUCUUUGGGUUCCGGGGGGAGUAUGGUCGCAAGGCUGAAACUUAAAGGAAUUGACGGAAGGGCACCACAAGGCGUGGAGCCUGCGGCUUAAUUUGACCCAACACGGGGAAACUUACCAGGUCCAGACACAGGUUUGAUUGACAGAUUGAUAGCUCUUUCUUGAUUCUGUGGGUGGUGGUGCAUGGCCGUUCUUAGUUGGUGGAGUGAUUUGUCUGGUUAAUUCCGUUAACGAACGAGACCUCAGCCUACUAAAUAGUUGGGCGAAUCCC
rnacentral:rRNA from 1 species